CUGAAGAUACCUAUUGGUGUGUAGUGGAGAGGACUGAACUGUUUCUUCGGAAGAUGUAGGUUUUCUUCCUGCUUCAGCAAAUAUCUCUUUCAUUUGUUUUUCAAGUUCGUCCUUGGAAGCAUGAGGGUUGGUUUGAAGCAUGUUUCUCAAAUAAGUAGGAAAGUCAAAUGAAGUGUUUGGAGUAUUUGGGUCUUUCUGGUAUAUAGGUGAUUCAGGAGGUAUUCUCUUUGGGGUGGCUUUAGUGAGAUCCAUUUGGAAGAUAUCCCACCAUUUGACAGAGAUGGUCUUUCCCAAACGAGGGAUGUAAGUAUAAUCAUUUGAAGUAUUAGGGGAGAUGGUAUAAUCCCAUUUCAUAAUCCAAGGGAUUUGGUAUA
rnacentral:lncRNA from 1 species